GGGUGCAAUCAUACUAGCGUUAAUGCACCGGAUCCCAUCAUAACUCCGCAAUUAAGCGCGCUUGGUCUAGAGUAGUACUGGGAUGGGUGACCUCUCGGGAAGUCCUAGUGUUGCACCCU
rnacentral:rRNA from 1 species